AGCGAACGCUGGCGGCAGGCCUAACACAUGCCAGUCGAACGAACCUUUCGGGGUUAGUGGCGGACGGGUGAGUAACACGUGGGAACGUGCCUUUAGGUUCGGAAUAACUCAGGGAAACUUGUGCUAAUACCGAAUGUGCCCUUCGGGGGAAAGAUUUAUCGCCUUUAGAGCGGCCCGCGUCUGAUUAGCUAGUUGGUUGAGGUAAUGGCUCACCAAGGCGACGAUCAGUAGCUGGUCUGAGAGGAUGAUCAGCCACAUUGGGACUGAGACACGGCCCAAACUCCUACGGGAGGCAGCAGUGGGGAAUCUUGCGCAAUGGGCGAAAGCCUGACGCAGCCAGGCCGCGUGAAUGAUGAAGGUCUUAGGAUUGUAAAAUUCUUUCACCGGGGACGAUAAUGACGGUACCCGGAGAAGAAGCCCCGGCUAACUUCGU
rnacentral:rRNA from 1 species